CUUGUUCCUUCAAGAACAGAAAACCCUUGGCGCAGAUGAUACCAUGUUGGCAAAGGAUCCCGCAUCUGGCAUCUGUACUCUUCUGUAUGACAGUGCACCCAGUGGCAGGUUUGGCACCAUGACCUACCUCUCCAAGGCAGCCGCCACCUACGUGCAGGAGUUCCUGCCCCACAGCAUCUGUGCCAUGCAAUGAGGGCUUUGGUUCCUGGCUUCUGGGAGCCUUUUGACAGCUGGUCCCUGCCUCGGUUGAUUGUGCAUGGAACUAAAAUGUUAUUGCCUAAUCACUCCAACCCUGCCCCUUUCUGUCCCAUCCUUCCCAAGAAGAGAGAACUUUUUCGAUAAACUAACUACUGUAGAAGAAGUGAACACUUACCUGGAGGCUCACCUUGCAGAACCAGUGACAAUCUUAUGAGUAUAAUGAACACUCAGCCAGGCCUGUCAUGAUUGGCUUUAUUUCUUUCAUCAUUCAUAAAAGUUUGCAUGUGUUUUUAUUCUCUAGAUCUGUUACCAAUAUAGUUUUCUAACUCCUGUUUGGGGAGCAAGUGUUAAUAAUAACUUAUUCCUAAAGCUUGGUUUUUCUUUUUUGUGAUUUUAUUGUGUAUAUGAGUGGUGGGUACUUUGGGACAUUAUUUCAAAUGAGUAAACUCUAAAUUGUUAAAUAUU
rnacentral:lncRNA from 1 species